GAAUUGAAGAUAUCUACUCGGUAGUCUAAACCUCAAAGGAGCUUAGGGAAGUGAUGGCAGUUGCAGGGUAUGAACCAGACGACCAUGCAGAGACCAACGAGGCGACCAAACAGUCCAUCGUGCAUACCACAUAACCAGGUCCAGAAUGCCAGUUUUCUUUAAGGGCAGCUGACAAUAAGAAUUGUCUAUGUAUGCACUACAGAUGCUGUUCAAUAUCUUUUCAUGAGGAAGCCUGCUCAAAAAGAUCGCCACAUUUUCUUUAGGGGAAGUUGACAUUAAUCUUUUAGGUUAAUAAUAACCUAUGCAUGCAGUACAGAUGCUGUUCAUCAUCUUUUCAUAAGCAAGCCUGCUCAAGAAGCUGCUGCAUGGAAGUCAAAAUAUGAAUUAUUGCCACCAGUCUUGAAGUCAGCUUGUAAAGAAUGCUAAGAAUUGAAUGAAAAUGCUGUCUUGAUAUCUUGUUUGUGCUGUUAUAUUUGUCUUUUGUGUUGGUUAAUUAUUCCAUGAAUAAAAAAUAAAAAAAAGUUAA